rnacentral:rRNA from 1 species
CUCGCGGCCUAUCAGCUUGUUGGUGAGGUAAUGGCUCACCAAGGCGUCGACGGGUAGCCGGCCUGAGAGGGUGACCGGCCACACUGGGACUGAGACACGGCCCAGACUCCUACGGGAGGCAGCAGUGGGGAAUAUUGCACAAUGGGCGAAAGCCUGAUGCAGCAACGCCGCGUGCGGGAUGACGGCCUUCGGGUUGUAAACCGCUUUUAGUAGGGAAGAAGGGCUUCGGCUUGACGGUACCUGCAGAAAAAGGACCGGCUAACUACGUGCCAGCAGCCGCGGUAAUACGUAGGGUCCGAGCGUUGUCCGGAAUUAUUGGGCGUAAAGAGCUCGUAGGCGGUUUGUCGCGUCUGCUGUGAAAUCUGGAGGCUCAACCUCCAGCCUGCAGUGGGUACGGGCAGACUAGAGUGCGGUAGGGGAGAAUGGAAUUCCUGGUGUAGCGGUGGAAUGCGCAGAUAUCAGGAGGAACACCGAUGGCGAAGGCAGUUCUCUGGGCCGUAACUGACGCUGAGGAGCGAAAGCGUGGGGAGCGAACAGGAUUAGAUACCCUGGUAGUCCACGCCGUAAACGUUGGGCGCUAGAUGUGGGGACCUUUCCACGGUUUCCGUGUCGUAGCUAACGCA